rnacentral:rRNA from 1 species
GACGAACGCUGGCGGCAUGCCUAACACAUGCAAGUCGAACGGAAAGACCCGGCUUGCUUUUCGGAGUGGAAUUGGAAAGUUAGUGGUGGCAGGGUGAUUACCGCGUGUACAACUUACCAUGUCAUGAGGAAACAGCUCGUGAAACCGAAGCUAAUACCCUACAAUAACCUUGCUUUGCGAGAAGUACGGCGGAUAGGCGGCCACUGCGCUGUCGUCAGCUGAUGGGUCGGGGUCUGACUAGCUAGUUGGUGGGGUAAUGGCCCGCCAGGGCGACGAGCCGUAGCCGGCCUGAGAGAGUGAUCGGCCGCAUGGGAGCUGGAACACGGACCAAACGCCUGCGGUAGGCAGCAGUGGGGAAUGUGCGGCAAUGGUCGAGAGCCUGACGGAGCGAGGCCGCGUGUGUGGAGAAGGCGUUCGGUGUGUAAUGCUCUGUCCUGAGCGAAGAGAGGCUUUUGUAGGUGCUGACGAUACUGUGACGGUAGAUGGUGAAGAAGCCCCGGCUAACUAUGUG